rnacentral:rRNA from 1 species
UACGUAAGGGGCAAGCGUUACCCGGAAUUAUUGGGCGUAAAGCGUCCGCAGGCGGAUUGGCAAGUAGGUUAUUAAAUACCGGUGCUCAACAUCGGUGCUGUAAUCUAAACUGCCAGUCUAGAGGAUGGGAGAGGUAUGCGGAAUUGUGCAAGUAGGGGUAAAAUCCGUAGAUAUGCACAGGAACACCAAAAGCGAAGGCAGCAUACUGGACCAUUCCUGACGCUCAGGGACGAAAGUGUGGGGAGCGAAACGG